AAUAGCUUUAGGGCUAGCCUCGAUUUAGUCUUAUGGAGGUAGAGCACUGAAUUUCCGCGGGGGCGUCAAAGCUUACCAAAGAAUAUCAAACUCCGAAUGCCAUGUAGAUGAUGAUCGGGAGUCAGACUGCACGAGAUAAGUUGGGCAGUCAAAAGGGAAAGAGCCCAGACCACCGGCUAAGGUCCCAAAGUGCGUGUUAAGUGGAAAAGGAUGUGGGAAUUCGAAGACAACUAGGAUGUUGGCUCAGAAGCAGCCAUACAUUCAAAGAGUGCGUAACAGCUCACUAGUCGAGAGUUCCUGCGCCGAAAAUGUCCGGGGCUGAAACACGACACCGAAGCCGUGGACUCGCAAUGCGAGUGGUAGAGGAGCAUUCUUAAAACCGACGAAGCUGUACCGAAAGGAGCAGUGGAGGGAUAAGAAGAGAGAAUGCCGGAAUGAGUAGCGAGAGAAAGGUGGGAAUCCUUUCGGCCGAAUAUCUAAGGUUUCCAGAGUAAAGCUGAUCUGCUCUGGGUAAGUCGGGGCCUAAGCACAGGUCGCAAGACGUAAGCGAUGGAUAACAGGUUUAGAUUCCUGUACCACGCAUUAUCAGAACUGUAGGGACGCAUGUGGAAAGCACGAGCCGGGAAUGGAAAGACCGGUACAAGCGGGGUAGGUGUACAAUAGGCAAAUCCGUUGUAUAAUCCGAAGACGUGAUGUGGAGCGAAAUAAAGUAGUGAAGCGUGUGAGCCAUGUGCCGAGAAAAGCUGCUAUUGUGUAAUGCGUGCCCGUACCGUAAACCGACACAGGUGGAUGAGGAGAGAAUCCUAAGGCCGACGGAAGAAGCAUUGUUAAGGAAUUCGGCAAAAUGACCCCGUAACUUCGGGAGAAGGGGUGCCUGCGAGAGCAGGCCGCAGAGAAUAGGCUCAAGCAACUGUUUAGCAAAAACACAGGUCUAUGCGAAACCGAAAGGUGAAGUAUAUGGGCUGACGCCUGCCCGGUGCUGGAAGGUUAAGAGGAGAGGUUAGCGCAAGCGAAGCUUUGAAUUUAAGCCCCAGUAAACGGCGGCCGUAACUAUAACGGUCCUAAGGUAGCGAAAUUCCUUGUCGGGUAAGUUCCGACCCGCACGAAAGGCGUAAUGAUUUGAGCACUGUCUCGACAAUGCAUCCGGUGAAAUUGAAGUACCAGUGAAGAUGCUGGUUACCCGCGCCAGGACGGAAAGACCCCAUGGAGCUUUACUCCAGUUUGAUACUGGGAUUCGGUACUGCAUGUACAGGAUAGGUGGGAGACGAAGAAGGAUGGACGCCAGUCUGUCCGGAGUCGCUGUUGGGAUACCACCCCUGUAGUACUGGGUUUCUAACCAGUUGCCAUGAUCUGGCAAUGGGACAAUGUCAGGCGGGGAGUUUGACUGGGGCGGUCGCCUCCGAAAGGGUAUCGGAGGCGCUCAAAGGUUCCCUCAGAAUGGUUGGAAACCAUUUGAAGAGUGCAAAGGCAGAAGGGAGCUUGACUGCGACACCGACGGGUGGAGCAGGUACGAAAGUAGGACUUAGUGAUCCGGUGGUAUAAAGUGGGAUUGCCAUCGCUCAACGGAUAAAAGCUACCCUGGGGAUAACAGGCUUAUCACUCCCAAGAGUUCACAUCGACGGAGUGGUUUGGCACCUCGAUGUCGGCUCAUCGCAUCCUGGGGCUGUAGCAGGUCCCAAGGGUUGGGCUGUUCGCCCAUUAAAGCGGUACGCGAGCUGGGUUCAGAACGUCGUGAGACAGUUCGGUCCCUAUCCGGCGCGGGCGGAGGAUAUUUGAGAGGAGCUGUCCUUAGUACGAGAGGACCGGGAUGGACGGACCACUGGUGUAUCUGCUGUCGACCAACGGCAUGGCAGAGUAGCCAAGUCCGGAAGGGAUAAACGCUGAAGGCAUCUAAGCGUGAAGCCCCCCUCAAGAUGAGAUAUCCCUCCUUCGGGAGUAAGACCCCUUGA
rnacentral:rRNA from 1 species